rnacentral:sRNA from 12 species
GCUUUCAACAUCCCCGUCCAGUUCGCUGCUUGCGAGAUUGGACUGAAGGC